rnacentral:tRNA from 1 species
GGAAAGGUAGCUCAGCAGCAGAGUGCAUGCCUUGCAAGCAUGAGGCCCUGGGUUCGAUUCCUCAGCACCA